CUUUUUAAAGGUGAGAAGGUUGAUACUGGGAACCUGGAAAAUUUUCUGGAAAAUAUAGGGAUAGAGCUCGCAGAAGAUAAAGGCGUGCAACUGCUGAAUAAUCUUCCAAUUGAUGCCAAAGGAAGGGUAUAUGUGAACAGACUGAUGAAAGAAUUGAGGGGUCUUGAAGGAACAAAGGUGUCUUCAGAUAAGAUGGAAAUGUUUCUGAAAAGCACAGGAAUUGAUCUCAAGGAGAAAGAAAUCCAGUCACUGAAGGACAACCUACCAGUUGAUGAUAAUGGGAAGAUUGAUUUGAACGUGAUGAUGGAUGAAGUUAAAAAUGUUACAGGUGAGUGAGAU